CCUACGGGAGGCAGCAGUGGGGAAUCUUGCGCAAUGGGCGAAAGCCUGACGCAGCAACGCCGCGUGGGGGAUGAAGGCCUUCGGGUUGUAAACCUCUUUCGCCAGGGACGAAGGGUGAUACUGACGGUACCUGGAGAAGAAGCACCGGCUAACUACGUGCCAGCAGCCGCGGUAAU
rnacentral:rRNA from 2 species